CCUACGGGAGGCAGCAGUGGGGAAUUUUGCGCAAUGGGGGAAACCCUGACGCAUCAACGCCGCGUGAGUGAUGAAGGCCUUCGGGUCGUAAAGCUCUGUCAGAGGGGAAGAAAUGAUAGUGUGCUAAUACCACAUUAUCUUGACGGUACCCUCAAAGGAAGCACCGGCUAACUCCGUGCCAGCAGCCGCGGUAAUACGGAGGGUGCAAGCGUUGUUCGGAUUUAUUGGGCGUAAAGCGCGUGUAGGCGGUCUUUUAAGUCUGAUGUGAAAGCCCCGGGCUCAACCCGGGAAGUGCAUUGGAAACUGGGAGACUUGAAUACGGGAGAGGGUAGUGGAAUUCCUAGUGUAGGAGUGAAAUCCGUAGAUAUUAGGAGGAACACCGGUGGCGAAGGCGGCUACCUGGACCGAUAUUGACGCUGAGACGCGAAAGCGUGGGGAGCAAACAGGAUUAGAUACCCUGGUAGUCCACGCCGUAAACGAUGAGUACUAGGUGUUGCGGGUAUUGACCCCUGCAGUGCCGCAGCUAACGCAUUAAGUACUCCGCCUGGGAAGUACGGUCGCAAGACUAAAACUCAAAGGGAAUUGACGGGGGCCCGCACAAGCGGUGGAGCAUGUGGUUUAAUUC
rnacentral:rRNA from 1 species